GCCGCCGCCAGCGCCCCCUAACGGCCGCGGGGCAACGGCCGCGCCGCACGCAGCCCUCAGGCCGCGCCUCAGGCAGAGCGGGGCUCUCGGGGCAGGGGGCUUACGGGGCGGAGAGGCGCUGAGGGUAAGGCCGCCGUGUGCCAUCUUCUUUCUAGUUUAAUGAAGGCGGAGGGUCCUGCUAACAGCCCGCGUACGUUCGGGGAGGCCAUCGUGUCGUGCCUGGCUAAAAGGCAGCUGCGCCUCUGGGCAAUGAUUUGUUUUCUGCUCAGUCCUCACGUUUGAAAGGAGCUCACGGAGUGAUUCUGGAGAACAGAAAAGGAAAAGCCUCAGGAAGGAGCUCCUCUGGCUCCCAGCAGCUUUGGUGACGGCUAUCACUGAGUGAAGAAACCCCAUUUUUUUCUCCUACUCUUGUUAACCAGGGGUGAAGUACGUUGUGGGUUGCGACCAUGUCCUGCUCUCCUAAGAUGUAGCUGUGAAAAUUGAGCAAUGCAGUGAUCUCUCCCUCUGUGGGACUUGUUUACAUGUAAUUAGAUCAGAGAAAGCCCCGUUUAAGCAAAUUAGGACGGCACCAGUUGAGUUUAGAAGUGUUUCUUUAAUUCGGUGUUCCACUGUCAUUCUGAUGUCGUUCUGUUCAGGGAGUCGCCCAGAAGGGUGCACGGGGGUCUGGUGCGAAAGAUGGAUGCUUUCAGGAGCUCCCAAGGAACGCCGCAAUGCAUCCCCGGUCUGAAAUGUGCUCAGGGAAAGCCUCACUGCAGGAGAGGCUGCAAGCACAGCGAGCGGGGCAAGCGCCGUCUGCUCGGGGUGCCGUGCACGGGCAGAACCACUCAUACAGACAGAACUACGGCCGGCGAUAAGGUCAGCCUGACUGCGCUAUUGGGAGUCAGGCUGCAGUUUGGGUUAGAGGGGGGAAGUUAACAAACGGAUCCUAACUGCCUGGCCCUGAUUCCAGCCACUCGUUACUAACAACAAAGGCCCGCAGGGCGUUACGUGACACAAGCAGCUCCUUAACCCGGCCCUGCCCUGGGGUCCGGCCAUGGAUCUCCUACCACUGCCUCAGCCCUGCACUUGUCUUUGUCCGCAUCUCUCCCGCACGCUCCCCUUCUUGCUUCCGAGCUGCAUAUUACACAAGAAAUAAUAGUCAUUAUUUUCGAACAUAAACUCGCUGUAACGCCCUCCCUUGCCGGCCUGAUUGUGUUCUGCUCCACGGUGUGAUAUUUGGUUGGUACACAGAAGGAGCUACCCAUUCCUGAAAGAGCCUCUGCAUUUCUCUUCUGCUAACGAUCGAUGUGGCAGGUGAAUUACAAAGUCACCAUUCUCAGGUUGAUCUCUGCUUUUGAAAGCGUUGUUUUACCAAUACAGCUUUUCAUACACACCCAGAGUGCAUGGAGUGAAACAACAAUACCAGCAGUUAGCAAAGUCGUUUGGAGCACUUACUAAAAGCCUUACCCACCUCUGGGGCAGCUUCCUCUUGAAAUCUUGAAGGUUAAUGUGAGUAAUUUCACCCCAGGAGUCCCUAGCCAUCACAGACAGGUUACGUUAUGAAUCUUCAACGUGCAUUCCAAAGCCCACUCUGGAAAGUGGGUUUGUUGAGAUGAGUUUGCUCAGAACUUCUCUGAGAUUAGGUCUCCUCCAAACCAGGCACAGAUGCGUAUGUAUCCUGAAAUAAAAUGUUGUGCCUUGCUACGUCAUCCUUUUGAAAAGCCACCUUGCCUUCCUGGCUAUCGAAUCUGCAUCUUUUUUAUCUAUAUGCCCUCCCUUGAUUCAAGUGUAUCCUGAUGAAAUGCCACCUCACCACCUAAUUGCUGGAUGCAACUACUGUUGCUAAGCAAGAAGAGAAGUUUUUUUUUAUGUUGUCCAGCUGUCUGCCAGUGAAUUAAUACCUGCUUUAACACAAACACGAAACUACCAUAUCUAAGUAAGGAACACCGUUGUGCCACAGAAGUCCAAAGGCUCUCUGGGCUGAGGGAGCAGUACCAUCACCACAGUGUGUGAGAGAAGGGGUUCUGCAGUUCUGCUAGGAGGGGAGCUCUCUCUAUGCUAGUUCAAUCACCUUUCAGUGUCUGUAGUGGUAAGGACUCUUCUGACUGACGUUUUGUUCACCUUGUGAAACUAGCAAAUGAACAUCUGCAGGCAUCCUGAAACAUCCUGAAUCACGGUCAGAAAAUCAACCUGAACUCCAGCUGAGACCCAAACCAAGAAGAUGGCAAUCCACAGACUGCUAAUAGUGAGCUUACAUUGCUUUCUUUGUCAACAAGCAAAUAAACUAUCGUGUAAUUCUUUGUCCA